GUUCCGGUCAGAAUUCGUAAAUUCCUGUAUCGUUGUUUCGGCAACGAUGUUUAAGAGCCCCCGCUUAAGGAAUUAGCCCGUACGAAGGGCACGAAGCGAAUUUCGCGCUCGGACUGUACCGUAAGCGUAAGCUUCGAUCUUUGGGUGAACGGUUGAUAACCUUGAAGAGAACGUCUGGAAUGCGAUGUAAGUCCAUUGCGAGCCUUUUGUUCAUUUUUAACCGACGGCAAUCUCCUCCCACUAGCCGGCGUAUAUCUCCGUUAAUUGCAAUAUGGCGGACAACGAUUUCGUUGUACUCGCGCGUGCCGAUAGAGCGAGUUGUCGGUGCGCCCUUCUCUAACUGGCUUACACCUGCUAACGACUCCGUUAAUAGAACCGCCGUCCGCUUCGGUGUAUCAAGGAGAAUGUAAAUACGUCGAGGCUUCUCGUAACGCGCGGAGAGAAAGAGAGAAACGGUACCGAACGAUCCGAAACGAUCGCGGAAAAGAAUUUCGCGAAGCGUUGUUACCCUCGAGAGAUCGACGACGAAUCGAUCGAGCUAGCGAUCGCGCGCACGGUCUCCGUUUCGCGAAAGGUUGAUGGACUGUACGGAAACGCGCGAUCUGUUUAUUUGACAGCCGAGGAACGGCGUCGAUUCUCUGCUCGGUGGGGUCGCGUACGCGAUAUUGGCCGACGAAAAAGCGUUAAAACGAACUCGAUCGAAGAAA